GUUGUAUAGUUAAGUGACUAAGCGUACAAGGUGGAUGCCUUGGCAAUCAGAGGCGAAGAAGGACGUGCUAAUCUGCGAAAAGCUUGGAUGAGUCGAUAAGAGGCGUUUAAUCCAAGAUAUCCGAAUGGGGAAACCCAGUAGAUGAAGAAUCUACUAUCAACAAGUGAAUUCAUAGCUUGUUGAGGCAAACCGGGAGAACUGAAACAUCUAAGUACCCCGAGGAAAAGAAAUCAACCGAGAUUUCGUCAGUAGCGGCGAGCGAAAGCGAAAGAGCCAGUAAGUGAUAGCAGUAUAGUGAGGAGAAUGUGUUGGGAAACACAAUCAAAGAGGGUGAUAAUCCCGUAUCUAAAAACCAUAUUGUGGUACUAAGCUAACGAGAAGUAGGGCGGGACACGUGAUAUCCUGUUUGAAGAAGGGGGGACCAUCCUCCAAGGCUAAAUACUCCUGAUUGACCGAUAGUGAACCAGUACUGUGAAGGAAAGGCGAAAAGAACCCCGGUGAGGGGAGUGAAAUAGAACCUGAAACCUUGUACGUACAAGCAGUGGGAGCCCCAUCACUUAAUCCGAUUGGAAGGUGAUGAAAAGCAACCGCACUUAAACAAUGGUAAGAGGAGCGAAGCGAGUCAAACCACCCAAAAGAAGCAGUGGGAUUAAGUGAUGGGGUGACUGCGUACCUUUUGUAUAAUGGGUCAGCGACUUAUAUUUUGUAGCGAGGUUAAC
rnacentral:rRNA from 1 species